rnacentral:tRNA from 1 species
GGGGGUAUCACUCAGUAGUAGAGCACAUGCUUAGUAUGCAUGAGGCCCUGGAUUCAAUCCCCAAUACCUCUA